rnacentral:lncRNA from 1 species
AUUUUCCUAAAUCAUUGCUUUUCAAUGCUUCAGGUUGUCUACAUGACUUGUCGCCAGCAUAUGAACAAGUUACCAGACUCGAAAAAUAAUUGGCUUUAUAGAAAAGUGAGAGGAGCGGGGACCGACUCCAAGCUGUGUUGAUAAAAAGAGGUUAAAGAUCAAAUAAUUCGGUUGAGGAGAAAUAGUGACCUAAAACCAGGAGGGGGUGUGCUUGGAUAUUUGCUUGGUAUAUGCAUGAAGAUUUUAUUUUGAUUUAUGCAAUUUCAGGCCAGUACUAAGAACUUAAAUCUCGAGUAAUUUUAGUUGCUCUUGGAAGAGAGCAGAGAAAAGAAAAACGGAGGGAAAGAACCAGAAGAGAGAGAGGAAGAAAAGAAAGAAAGAAAUAAACCUAAUUAUAAAAAGUAGGCGUUGAUUUUACUGAACUAGUCAAAGAAUGUUUUACUGUUCCAGGAGCGUGACGAAUGAAAUAAUUUUUACUCCCUUUCGAAAUAUGCAAGGUUAUUAGUCCCUUGGUGUCAGCUGAGAAAAUCCCUUGCCCCUUGUGAUUGUUUAGUAGAUUGAUAUUGCAAUGUUUAUAUAAAACUUCAAUAUUUCUGUAAUUCGUG